rnacentral:rRNA from 1 species
UCAGGAUGAACGCUGGCGGCGUGGAUAAGGCAUGCAAGUCGCGUGGGUUUAGACCCACGGCGAACGGGGUAGUAAUACAUAGGUACAUACCGACAAGACGGGCAUAAUCCGCCGAAAGGCGGACUAAUUCCCGAUAGUUCCCGAAAGGGUAAAGGCGUAAGCCGCUUGUUGAAUGGCCUGUGGGCUAUCAGCUAGUUGGUAGGGUAACGGCCUACCAAGGCAAUGACGGCUAGGGGGCGUGAGAGCGUGAUCCCCACCAAUGGGACUGAGACACGGCCCAUACACCUACGGGUGGCAGCAGCCGAGAAUAUUCGACAAUGGGCGAAAGCCUGAUCGAGCGACGCCGCGUGCAGGAGGAAGUCCCUCGGGACGUAAACUGCUUUUUUAGGGGACGAACGAAAGUGACGGUACCCUAAGAAUAAGGACUUGCUAAUCUCGUGCCAGCAGCCGCGGUAAUACGAGAGGUCCAAGCGUUAUCCGGAUUUAUUGGGCGUAAAGGGUGCGUAGGAGGUUAUGUUAGUCUUUUGUUAAAUAUCCCGGCUUAACCGGGAAAAUGCGGGAGAAACGGCAUAACUUGGAGGAUGCCAGAGGCAAGCGGAACUCACGGUGUAGGGGUGAAAUCCGUUGAUAUCGUGGGGAACACCAAAGGCGAAGGCAGCUUGCUGGGGCAGUCCUGACUCUGAGGCACGAAAGCGUGGGGAUCAAAAAGGAUUAGAUACCCUUGUAGUCCACGCCCUAAACGAUGAUGACUAGCUAUUCGAAGUAUCGACCCUUCGCGUGGCGAAGCUAACGCGUUAAGUCAUCCGCCUGGGAAGUACGAUCGCAAGAUUAAAACUCAAAGGAAUAGACGGGGACUCGCACAAGCGGUGGAGCAUGUGGUUCAAUUCGACGAUAAACGAAAAACCUCACCAGGGCUUGAAAUCCAGACGACAAUUCGCCGAAAGGUGAAUUUUCUCACAAGGACGGCUGGACAGGUGCUGCAUGGCUGUCGUCAGUUCGUGGCUUGAGCUGUUCCCUUCAGUGGGGUAACGAACGCAACCCUCGUCGCCUGUUACAAGUGUCAGGCGAGACAGUCCCGCUUAGCGGGAAGGAAGCGAGGAUGACGCCAAGUCAGCAUGGCCCUCUGACGCCCUGGGCUACACACGUGCUACAAUGCCUGUUACAAUGGGCCGCGAAAGCGUAAGCUGGAGCAAAUCCCAUCAAAAACAGGCCCAGUUCGGAUUGAGGUCUGCAACUCGACCUCAUGAAGUUGGAAUCGCUAGUAAUCGCAGGUCAGCUAUACUGCGGUGAAUACGUUCUCGAGUCUUGUACUCACCGCCCGUCAACUCAAGGGAGCCGGGAGUA